GGCCAAAGGUAUGCUCGAGCCCGACUUGAAAGACCAACGGAUCUUAUAUUUAGGCCCAAGCCCUGCCUGAAUUGUUGUGGGCUUAGCUCAAAGCUCGGCCUGAUGGGCCUCGAGCCAGCUCAAGCCUGGCUCCAAUCCUACCAGCAUAUAACUUUCACUGGUAAGUUAUCAAAUUACUAGUGCACAAUCCCUAUGGGUAAGAUAUCAAUGCACUAGCAUACAACUCUCACUAGCAGAGUAUCAAAAUACUAGCACAC
rnacentral:lncRNA from 1 species